CCGCAAGACAAGAGCCAAGACCUCUCCUCCGCUCCGGCCCGCCUCCUCUCUCUCUGCGGACGGCCCUCCGUCCGCGUCACCAGCUCAGAUGAAGUCACGGGCCACUGAGCUGCUCUGCCUGCAGCCAGCCGGGCCGCCGGACCGCCGGACCUUUCCUCCCUCAUCGUUUCUGUCUGACUGCAGUUAGCGAAAGGCCAGAAGAGAAAUCAUUAAAAAGUGACAGACGCCUUUGGCUCCAUUUCCUGCCUCGUUUUCAAACUUCUGGUUUCUGUUAAAGGUCCGGUCCAUGAUGGAGCCAUCGCCGUGCUUCACAGUCUGAAACACAUUCAGUGACAGUUUCACUCCAUACAACAGGAUUUCAUAAGAAUCACAUUUGUUUUGAUGAAAAACGAGUCAAACUUUCACAGUGACAAUCUGAGAUGUUUCAUAAAACUGAAUUAAAAACUGCAGAGGAAACUGAAGUAAAGAAGCAAACGUUUCUAAAUGUCCACGUUUGUUCAGGGAGAACCGAACGUCUCCACAACGCAGGAAAAGUCUGAUGGGACAUAAACGGAGCAGUGCUGCGUUCAGGGAAACAUUUUACACCAAGCAGGCGGAUCCUAAACGGUUUGCAGCUUUACAGCAAACAACCUGCAGGGCAGCAAGGAAACGUUGGAGAUCAGGUUUCACUGCAGUCCGCCUGUCAAAGACGGAUGAACAGUUCAUCAAACUAACGGACAUGAAGGUUCCUCCUGCCUGCUUUCUCCUGACGGAUCAAUUUAAACCUGGUCUUCAUUAACUUGACUUUAUCCGUCCAAACCGUUUCAUCUGGACAGGAGAAGAAGAGCUGGACGUUAACGCCCCGCUCGUUCUCCAGCCCUGCAGGACUUUGAUGGUCCAAAUCACCGAACCAUCAGAUGACAGGAAGAAAGAGCAUUUGACAAAUUGCUGUGGCGGCUCUGGAAGGCAGCGUCUGCAAAUUGGCUCUAAAUUCUCCCAUCAGUCAGAAGGAAGGUCCGAUCCUGCUGAUCAGAACCGGGUCGUUCUGGACCCUGAGCAGGCGCCGCUGACUUCAGCAGAAACAACCAACGAGGACAUGAAGACGUCCCCGGCAAACGGCAUCAUGGAGGAGCAUUGUGAAGAACGAAGGAAAGAGAAGGAGCUUCUUAAAGAGACAGAGCCCCAAUUUCACGGCAUCAAAUCGAGACGUCAGAUUUCUUUAAAAUCAUAUUUGACAUAUGCAGCAUUUUUAUAGUAACUUAUAUUAACAUAGUUACUAGAUUGUGCUGCAAAAUGGCGCUCUGCCUAGAAAAUAUAUAACACCGCCCCUUUAAGAGCCCAAACUGAACCUCAGAAAAAUGAAACUUAUGUUAUCAUUUUGCAAAAGAGGAAGUUUCAGAGAAACGGUUCCUGCCUGGUUUCCUGAACCACGUUUCACUUUUCCUAAAGUUUGGUUCC